GGCCGCGGUAAUUUGACCGUGCAAAGGUAGCAUAAUCAUUAGUCUUUUAAUUGUUGGCUGGAAUGAAUGGCUUGACGAGAUAUUUACUGUCUUUUUAUAUUAAUCUUAGAAUUUAAUUAUUUAGUGAUAAGGCUAAAAUGUUAUUAUGGGACGAGAAGACCCUAUAGAAUUUUAUUAUUAUAUUUUAUUGUUGUUUAUAAUUAUAAAUAGGUUAUAAUAAUUAUAUUGGGGUGAUAGGGAUAUAUAAAUAACUUUCCUUUAAGUAUACAUAUUGAUAUAUAUAUAUAUGAUCCUUUUUUUUGAUUAUAAGAUUUAAUUACCUUAGGGAUAACAGCGUAA
rnacentral:rRNA from 1 species